AUUCUUUUGGUCAUUUCGACCUAAUAUUUGUUACUCCGUAUAAAGAAGAAGAAGAAGACAUAUCAGCAGCAGGAGGUUUCCUUGAAUCAAUUCAAUUGGGAUUCCUUCAACAGGAGGAAGUCUAUCACUAAAUCGGUGUGUAUCUCCGCUAUGACAACCUCUGAAAUUGCUGAUGACGUCCGAGUAUCAGUCCAGUUCUCUUCUCCUGGUGACGACAAGAAUGACAAAACUAAUCCGCCAAGUAGUUCUUUCCGUAAAUUUUUGCGGGCGAUGCUUCAUUUACUGAGGGAAGGGAAGAAAAGGAGGUGAACUUGACAUCAAAUUGUUUAUUACCAAAAUCGGAAUUUCAUAUCGGUCUUGAUGGAAAGCAUUGUCAGAACAAGGAAACUGCGAGAAAAGCUUACAAAAAUUAUUUUGGCGGUUAUCAGUGUCAUCAUCCUCAAUGUUGGAUGAGUAAAACUAAAGACAGGUUUCUUGAGGUGCUACUUAUGGUUUCUUCGUUCCUGUUAUCAUUUUGCACGGCUGGCGCCUUCUACUUCACUGAAGCGCUUACGAUUGCUGGAAGCCAUGAUCCAGUUCUCAAACACAGCUUGGCAGCGCUCAAUAGGGUAUUCGCCGCUUCUUUCAUUUGUAACUUUUUGGGUGUGUUGAUAUGUCUUAUUCUACAACUAGUGGAUUGCCCGUGCCAUAAUGGCACGGGGACGGAAGGGGUGAUACUGCUAAUACCUUUGUCGAUGUACCGUGUCAGAUAUUUACUAAAUUUUUUUAAUAGGAGUGGAAUGUAUUCACCCAUUUGUAAAGAAUAUCUACAUCAAGGUAACAUAUCAUAGUGGCUCGGCAUUGUUGUAGGA